UAAUAGCAUGGCUUUUCGGGAGAUUAGUGAUUAAAUGACCCCUAACCCUCGGCAUGUUUGCGGAAUUCCCUCGGGCUUCGCCCUCGGGAAUUCCGCAAACCUGCCUCGGGUUACGGGGCCAUUUAAUCACUAAUCUCCCUCAAGCCAUGCUAUUACUUAUAAUUAUUUACUUUAUUUACUGAGAUGAGACCUCCGGAAAGUUGUGUGUUUUGUGGCCCCUCAACCGCCGUUGUUGCCCUCGACUUCCGCCUCGGGCAACAACGGCGGUCUCGGGUUCACAAACACACUGUUUCCCUCGGUCUCAGUAAAUAACUGCAUGAUAAAUAUAUGUCUUGUGGUAAAUAAUCGCCAACUGAAAUAUAGUGCAGUUCGCUUGUAAUUAUAACAAUAGCUUCUAGCUUCUAUAUAAUGAUAAAAUGACAAAAUAAUAGUUUUAAAAUCUGUUGGGAUUCUAGAUGAUAAAAUUGAUAGCAGUUGUAUUGAUAGCAGUUGUUGAUAAAAUUGAUAGCAGUUCUGUUGGGAUUCUGAAAAUAUAGCACAUGGUCAGCCUAGCUCUAGGCUCUCUCUCGCGCUUGCUAUAUGCUUGGUUCAUAGGGGUACGAAGGGGCACUUGUACCUUGCGUGGUGACGUCACAACUAACUGACGUCAUACCUAAAUAGUUUUAUCGAUCGGUUCGUAGUUUCGUUGCCCCUGCAGAACGGCUAGGGACUAGGCUGGCACAUGGUAAUAGUAACUUUUAAUUGAAUUGAUCUUAGAAUGUAUGCCACAUUGCAUUCCGUAUACCCGUGAAUGUUUUGAUGGAUUGAAAAUUGCGUGACGUAAGCACUUCUAAGGAUUAUAUUCACGUUAAUCCUGACAUCUAUAUGAUGACUCACAGGAUAAUUUUAUUCUGUUUAUAAUAACAAGGAAAUGCAACGAAGCAGUAAAGCAUGUAACGUAAGCUUCAACAUAACUCACUAAUAGUAAAAAGAGUAAAAAAAAACUCUUUGUGCUUUGGUUCAGUUCGAACCCGAAAGGUCAUGAAAUCGAUGUUUCGUUUUGCAUGGAAGGUGAGAUGCAGGC
rnacentral:lncRNA from 1 species